GUUUCUCUCACACAUGACUUAAUCCAUACGGCUCAUCAAACCACUACCAAGUAUUCUAACCAUGAACUCAAUCAUGCGUCUUCGUUGUGUCAUGUUAUUUGCAAUUUUUUCCUUUGGUCUCAUCAUUUCAUUACAUGCUGCGUCAUCCUCAGAGACAUCUUCCCCGGCUACGCCUCCCUCGAAGCGUCUUAAGUCCUCCGAGGAAGCGGACAACGAGGAGG